AGUUCCUAGGUUCCCCAAUGAUCUUAAGUUUCUGUGGGCUGGUGAGAUGGCUCAGUGGGUAAGGCAUUUGCUUGUCAAGCUGAGUUCAAUCCCUGGGACCCACAUAGUGGAAGAACAGAACCAACUUCCAUUAAUUGUCUUCUGACUUUCAUAGGUGCCGUGGCAUACACACACUGUAUAAAGUUCUAUGUCAUCUUAAUUUUCCCUGUCGUCUUUGAGCCACUGAAGUACUCAUACCUACUAGAAUUCGGCAUAUGUGCAGCAUGCCGACAUGUGAAUAGAAAAUAUCAUCUCACGGGAAAGAUUACGAGCAUCUUCAAGAGGGACUGAUGCUUCCCACUUUCUUCUACAAGGACUGAGAGAGCCACAGGAGUGGAUCAUACAUUAUCCUGCCCCAUCUGAAAAAAAUCCAACUCAGUGAUUGAUUUUACAGCUGCCUGUGUCUGAAAAUUCCUCAGCGUGAAUUCCAGCAGGUGAAGAGAAUUCUUCUGUAGUCUGCACAGAACCUUGAGUUCUGUCCCCAGGGCUUCGAGAGACAGGCAUGGGAGCAUAUACCUCUAAUGUCAGCACUUGGGAGGUGGACGCUGAAGCUGAGGAGUUGAAGGCCAUCCUUCACUACUUAAUGAG